GAAUAUAUCAUUCGGGUACAGAGAGGAAUUUCUGCAGAAAAUAGCUGGCAGAUUGUCAGAAGAUACAGUGACUUCGAUUUACUUAACAACAGCUUGCAGGUAAAUCUUCAAAACACUGCGACUCGCACUGACUGCCUAUGAUGCCUUUCUGGUUAGAGCGUAAGGAGAAUCUCCCUUUGUGGAUUACGACUGGCUACAUAGGUUGUUAGAAUUCUGUAGGUCUGUUGAGAUUUGAUCUUUUGAUAGGUAUUGUAAUGAUAAAUACUGCUUCCCCCCUACCCCCAAAGACAUGGUUGCUCCCAGGGAUGAGAGAGUCUGCACAUACCCGGUGAUGAUAUUCCAAUUGGUAAAUAAAGAUGCCUGCAGCCGAUAGCUGGGCAGAAGGGAGAUAGGCAGGGGUCUUGGGUUCCUGGACUUGAGGGUCAGAGGAGACCACAACUGGGAGAAGAAGGUGGAGAGAGGAGAAAGGCGCCAUGGGUUAGGAGUCAAGAAAGCAUGGCCUUGGGAGCUGGCCAGUUGGAGUUAAGAGCAGCCCAGAUGAAACAAAGAUGAAACGAACUCGGGGUUAUCAAUAGAAAAUAGAUUUUAAUAGCAGAGAGAGUAGAUAUCUGCCCAGCCUUAGUGCUAAUAAAGGCUUGUUAUGAAU
rnacentral:lncRNA from 1 species